UACGAAGGGGGCUAGCGUUGCUCGGAAUCACUGGGCGUAAAGGGUGCGUAGGCGGGUCUUUAAGUCAGGGGUGAAAUCCUGGAGCUCAACUCCAGAACUGCCUUUGAUACUGAAGAUCUUGAGUUCGGGAGAGGGAAGCGGAAUUCCGGGUGUAGCGGUGAAAUGCGUAGAUAUCCGGAGGAACACCGGUGGCGAAGGCGGCUUCCUGGACCGACACUGACGCUGAGGCGCGAAAGCUAGGGGAGCAAACGGG
rnacentral:rRNA from 1 species